AUCAAAACCUUCACUGAGAAUGCCAACUUUUGAAUUAAUUCAAGUGGGAUCGAAACUUUCAGACACCUCCUAACUUAUCGGAGAAAAAACUCAGUUCCAAAGGUAGAAGAAGAAUAAUUUGAAUUUCAUACCACGGUUGCGAUGUCGACGUCAGCGAACCUUCAAAUCUUCGUUGGACGUCGACAAAGGUCGUCGACGUCGGAUGGAAUAUAUAAUCCACAAUAGCAGGAAAAGAAGAGCAGAGAUUUUGCGCGGAAAGAGGGGUUUCAAUGUUGUCAAUCCCAAAAUGAUGGUCCAGUUCAAGUUAGAGGAGGAAGUCGAGGAAUUAGAUUUUCAGCAUGGAGCACAUUCUGAGGAGCAAAUUUCAAUGCUUAGAAAGGCAACAAAUACUCUGUCUGACUUCUGCAAGGUCACACCAGUUAAGCAGUGACGACAUUGGUGCACUGAUUGGAGCGGGAGUCUGCCCACGCCUUUUAGAGUUGAUAACGCUGAAAACAUUUCCAUCUCUUACACUUCCAGCUUUACGUAUAGUUGGAGUUAUAGUCAGUGGUGACGAAAACCAAACUCAGGAUCCGCAGGUUUGUUCUGCGGAGGUAUAUAUAUUUGACUUUUGAUUUGUUAAGGAGUCCGGUGAGAAAGGAGAAACAAAACCCAAGUGGGAUCAUCUGAAUCGCCAUCUGGUUCCCAGUUCAUGUGCAGUACGUAAUUGAUCAGUAGGCACUGCCUUGUUUUGUGAGUUUAUUGACGCAAAAUCUUGACAACAAUGUCAAAAAGGAAUUGUGCUGGAUACUUUCGAACAUUACUGCAGGAAAUACAUGUCAUAUUCAGGCCAUCAUAGACACCGGUGCCUUCCGUAAUCUCAUCCAAAUAUUUCAGACUGCUAAUGUUCAAUUAAAAUGUGAAAUCGCGUGGGUCAUGGCCAAUGCAAUUUGAGGAGGAAAUAGUACCCAGAUCCGGUAUCUUGUUGACGAGGGAUGCAUUCAACCAUUAUGUGAGAUGCUUACAUGCUCUCACAUCCAGACCACUUAUGUAUGCCUGGAGGGGCUUAAGAAAGUCUUAGAAACUGGAAAAGUGGAAGGAAAUGAUAGUUACUAUGGUGAUUUGAUUAUAAUGGCAGAAGGCGUAGAUGAAAUAGUGGAGCUUCAAAGUCAUAAUAAUACUGACAUUUCAUAAUAAUACUGACAUUUAUGAAAUGUCAGUCAAAUUGUUGGAGACCUACCUUUUGAAGCACGAUCCUCAGACGAUGCUCCCAGCCCCAGGUGGAAUGGGUUCUCUUUAUUUAGCUUUUAUUAUAUUACAACCUUACCUGAUUCUUCUUUUUUCUGUUUCUUCCCUGUUGUAAUUCUACUCUUGGUUUACAUUCAGUAUUGAAACUGUCCUUUUGAUACAAUCAUAUUUUCAUUUUAGUUGCUAAAUUCAAUAUGGCAUCCUCACUUUACUCCAA